rnacentral:tRNA from 1 species
GGGCCAGUGGAGCUGUUGGCAAAGCUCGCCGCUCUCUCAAGGCGGAGAUCGUCGGUUCGAGCCCGACUUGGCCUA